UACGUAGGGUCCGAGCGUUGUCCGGAGUUACUGGGCGUAAAGCGCGCGCAGGCGGCCCGCGAGGUGUCACGUGAAAGCCCCGGGCUCAACUCGGGAGGGUCGUGGCAAACCGGCGGGCUUGAGGCCGGUAGAGGUGGGUGGAACUCCUGGUGGAGUGGUGAAAUGCGUAGAGAUCAGGAAGAACACCCGUGGCGAAGGCGGCCCACUGGGCCGGUGCUGACGCUGAGGCGCGAAAGCGUGGGGAGCAAACAGG
rnacentral:rRNA from 1 species